rnacentral:rRNA from 1 species
GAUGAACGCUGGCGGCGUGCUUAACACAUGCAAGUCGAACGGAAAGGCCCUGCUUUUGUGCGUUGCUCGAGUGGCGAACGGGGGAGUAACACGUGUGUAACCUGCCCUUGUCUUUCGGAUAACAUCACGAAACUGGGGCUAAUAUCGGAUAGGAUCUCCUGCUGCAUGGUGGUGGUUGGAAAGUUUCGGCUGUGGUGGAUGGACUGGCGGCUUACCAGCUUGUUGGUGGGGUAGUGGAUGACCAAGGCUGUGACGGGUACGCGGCCUGAGAGGGUGAACGGCCACACUGGGACUGAGGGACGGCCCAGAGUCGUACGGGAGGCAGUAGUCGGGAGCAUGGCACAACGGGCGGAAGCGUGAGACAGAGGCCCUGCGUGCGUGAUGACGGCCUUCGGGUGAAAAACCGCUUUCGCCUGAGACGAAGCGUGAGUGACGGUAAUUAAUAAAGAAGCACCGGCUAACUACGUG